UACGUAGGGGGCUAGCGUUGUCCGGAAUCAUUGGGCGUAAAGCGCGCGUAGGCGGCCCGGUAAGUCCGCUGUGAAAGUCAAAGGCUCAACCUUUGAAUGUCAGCGGAUACUGCCGGGCUAGAGUCCGGAAGAGGCGAGUGGAUUUCCUGGUGUAGCGGUGGAAUGCGCAGAUAUCAGGAGGAACACCAACGGCGAAGGCAGCUCGCUGGGACGGUACUGACGCUGAGGCGCGAAAGCGUGGGGAGCGAACAGG
rnacentral:rRNA from 1 species